AUCACUCGGCUCGUGGAUCGAUGAAGACCGCAGCUAAAUGCGCGUCAGAAUGUGAACUGCAGGACACAUGAACACCGACAAGUUGAACGCAUAUUGCACAUCGUACAACAGUACGAUGUACACAUUUUUGAGUGCCUAUAUUUAUCUAUUCAACUGUGCACGCAGUGCACGCAAAAUGGUGUUUUGCUGCCUUCGGUGGCUGGCAAAACAUUCAAGACGCUCAGCGGCUCGGGGUUUUCGUUCGGCGGACGGCCACACUGGUGCGCCCGCACACGACUGAACGGACGACGACGGUGAGAAUACAUCCCACACACCAACCUGGCUUGGGCGCCGAUGUAGCAUCUCUCACGCCCGUCACGUCGUCGUCACACGUUCGUUCGGUCAUCCGGCGUCGUCGCGGUACCGCGUCCACAGAACAGAACAACCCAACACACGAGCAGCGAACGACAAGCGAUAAGAUAAACCCCCCAUGUAGGCCUCAAAUAAUGUGUGACUACCCCCUAAAUUUAAGCAU
rnacentral:rRNA from 1 species